rnacentral:rRNA from 1 species
GACGAACGCUGGCGGCGUGCCUAAUACAUGCAAGUAGAACGCUGAAGGAGGAGCUUGCUUCUCUGUAUUAGUUGCGAACGGGUGAGUAACGCGUAGGUAACCUGCCUGGUAGCGGGGGAUAACUAUUGGAAACGAUAGCUAAUACCGCAUAAUAGUAGAUGUUGCAUGACAUUUGCUUCAAAGGUGCAAUUGCCUCACUACCAUAUGGACCUGCGUUGUAUUAGCUAGUUGGUGAGGUAACGGCUCACCAAGGCAACGAUACAUAGCCGACCUGAGAGGGGGAUCGGCCACACUGGGACUGAGACAAGGCCCAGACUCCUACGGGAGGCAGCAGUAGGGAAUCGUCGGCAAUGGACGGAAGUCUGACCGAGCAACGCCGCGUGAGUGAAGAAGGUUGUCGGAUCGGAAAGCUCUGUUGUAAGAGAAGAAAGAGUGUGAGAGUGGAAAGUUCACACUGUGACGGUAUCUUACCAGAAAGGGACGGCUAACUACGUG